rnacentral:tmRNA from 1 species
GGGUCUGUACUGGUUUCGACGGGGUAGCGAAAGCUGUUCGUUGAUGCAGGUCGAGAGGGAGUGUCUCUCGUAAAUAAAGGCUCAAAACAAUAGAUGCAAACAACAUCGUAAAAUUUGCUCGUAAGGAUGCCCUAGUAGCAGCCUAAAAGCCUCUUUCAGGUCCGAGCGUUUCUAGUUUGACUCCGUUAAGAGCUAGAGACAACCCUCAACGGAUGCGCCAACAAGUUUCCUCUGGUAGACUAGUUAGCAAAGAAAUCACCAGAGCAUCCUACCGUCUGGGAUAAUAGACGAUUCCCGCCUUGAGGGUAAGAUAGGCUAAACCUGUGAAUGAUGCGGAAGUUAAUACCUAUUUCGGACGGCAGUUCGAUUCUGCCCAGAUCCA